ACCAGCCGUAGUUGAAAAAGCUGUAAGUUUAUGGCCGUCCAGGAGCGUCCUACAUAGACAUAGCUGGAGACAUGGUGAAUGCCAAAAUAGACCGGGCCAGUGUCAGGUUUGUUUCCUGCUGUCCUGCUCCUCCUGUGAGUCAGGCUGACAGCAGGGAGAUCACACAGGCUGUCAGGCUGCUCAAAGCGGCUCAGAGACCUCUGAUCAUCAUCGGCA